AAUAGAUACCCUGGUAGUCCACGCCGUAAACGAUGAGUGCUAGGUGUUAGGGGUUUCGAUACCCUUGGUGCCGAAGUCAACACAGUAAGCACUCCGCCUGGGGAGUACGGUCGCAAGACUGAAACUCAAAGGAAUUGACGGGGACCCGCACAAGCAGUGGAGUAUGUGGUUUAAUUCGAAGCAACGCGAAGAACCUUACCAGGUCUUGACAUCCCUCUGAAUAGUCUGGGGACAGGCUAGGCCUUCGGGACAGAGGAGACAGGUGGUGCAUGGUUGUCGUCAGCUCGUGUCGUGAGAUGUUGGGUUAAGUCCCGCAACGAGCGCAACCCUUGAUUUUAGUUGCCAGCACUUCGGGUGGGCACUCUAGAAUGACUGCCGGUGACAAACCGGAGGAAGGCGGGGAUGACGUCAAAUCAUCAUGCCCCUUAUGACCUGGGCUACACACGUACUACAAUGGCCGGUACAACGGGAAGCGAAGGGGCGACCUGGAGCCAAUCCUUACAAGCCGGUCUCAGUUCGGAUUGCAGGCUGCAGCUCG
rnacentral:rRNA from 1 species